rnacentral:rRNA from 1 species
GCGUGGCUUCCGGAGCUAACGCGUUAAGUAGACCGCCUGGGGAGUACGGCCGCAAGGUUAAAACUCAAAUGAAUUGACGGGGGCCCGCACAAGCGGUGGAGCAUGUGGUUUAAUUCGAUGCAACGCGAAGAACCUUACCUGGUCUUGACAUCCACAGAAGAAUCCAGAGAUGGAUUGGUGCCUUCGGGAACUGUGAGACAGGUGCUGCAUGGCUGUCGUCAGCUCGUGUUGUGAAAUGUUGGGUUAAGUCCCGCAACGAGCGCAAC